rnacentral:rRNA from 1 species
UACAGAGGGUGCGAGCGUUAAUCGGAAUUACUGGGCGUAAAGCGCACGUAGUCGGCUUUGCAAGUCGGUUGUGAAAUCCCCGGGCUCAACCUGGGAACUGCAUCCGAGACUGCAUUGCUAGAGUAUGGGAGAGGAAAGCGGAAUUUCUGGUGUAGCAGUGAAAUGCGUAGAUAUCAGAAGGAGCAUCAGUGGCGAAGGCGGCUUUCUGGACCAAUACUGACGAUCAGGUGCGAAAGCGUGGGGAGCAAACAGG